GAUAAGAUGGCUGAAUUUAAAGGUAAUAAAUUGUAAAUUUAUUUAUGGGUGUACCCUCUUAUCA
rnacentral:tRNA from 1 species